AUUAGGCCAAAGCCCAUGAAUGCCGAAAUCAGCUGCAGGUUUGCCAGUGGUUGGGUAGCAGCAACUUUGUUUUGUGUCACAGUAUGAUCCUGGCCACUGUUGAACAAAGUAGAAGAAAUCAAAAUCUUGCGAAGCACAUAGGAGUGAUAGGGACAGAGCCACCAAAAGCUUAAUCGAGAGUGAACUGUGGGUUUUCAUACUCGCUCAACUUUCAAAGAUUAUUAUCGGUUUCUAGUAUGAAGG
rnacentral:misc_RNA from 1 species